AGAGUUUGAUCAUGGCUCAGGACGAACGCUGGCGGCGUGCUUAACACAUGCAAGUGGUGCGACGAACCAGGGCUUGCCCUGGGGCAAAGCCGCGAACGGGUGAGUAACACGUGAGUAACCUGCCCCGAUGACCGGGACAACCCGAGGAAACUCGGGCUAAUACCGGAUGUAGUGCACAGGCGUAAGCCUGUUCACCAAAGGAAGCUUCGGCCUCCGCAUUGGGAGGGGCUCGCGGCCCAUUAGCUUGUUGGUGGGGUAACGGCCUACCAAGGCAACGAUGGGUAGCUGGUCUGAGAGGACGAUCAGCCACACUGGGACUGAGACACGGCCCAGACUCCUACGGGAGGCAGCAGUGGGGAAUCUUGCGCAAUGCGCGAAAGCGUGACGCAGCAACGCCGCGUGGGGGAAGACGGCCUUCGGGUUGUAAACCCCUUUCAGGAGGGACGAAGGUUCGCCGGUGAACAGCCGUGCGGAUUGACGGUACCUCCACAAGAAGCUCCGGCUAACUACGUGCCAGCAGCCGCGGUAAUACGUAGGGAGCAAGCGUUGUCCGGAAUCAUUGGGCGUAAAGCGCGCGUAGGUGGCUUCGUAAGUCCGUUGUGAAAGUCAAAGGCUCAACCUUUGAAAGCCGAUGGAUACUGCGGAGCUAGAGUACGGAAGAGGCGAGUGGAAUUCCUGGUGUAGCGGUGGAAUGCGCAGAUAUCAGGAGGAACACCAAUAGCGAAGGCAGCUCGCUGGGACGUUACUGACACUGAGGCGCGAAAGCGUGGGGAGCGAACAGGAUUAGAUACCCUAGUAGUCC
rnacentral:rRNA from 1 species